rnacentral:rRNA from 1 species
GGGUUGUGAGGUUAAGCGACUAAGCGUACACGGUGGAUGCCCUGGCAGUCAGAGGCGAUGAAGGGCGUGCUAAUCUGCGAUAAGCGCCGGUAAGGUGAUAUGAACCGUUAUAACCGGCGAUACCCGAAUGGGGAAACCCAGUGUGAUUCGUCACACUAUCAUUAACUGAAUCCAUAGGUUAAUGAGGCGAACCGGGGGAACUGAAACAUCUAAGUACCCCGAGGAAAAGAAAUCAACCGAGAUUCCCCCAGUAGCGGCGAGCGAACGGGGAGGAGCCCAGAGCCUGAAUCAGCAUGUGUGUUAGUGGAAGCGUCUGGAAAGGCGCGCGAUACAGGGUGACAGCCCCGUACACAAAAGCGCAUGUGCUGUGAGCUCGAUGAGUAGGGCGGGACACGUGGUAUCCUGUCUGAAUAUGGGGGGACCAUCCUCCAAGGCUAAAUACUCCUGACUGACCGAUAGUGAACCAGUACCGUGAGGGAAAGGCGAAAAGAACCCCGGCGAGGGGAGUGAAAAAGAACCUGAAACCGUGUACGUACAAGCAGUGGGAGCACAGGUUUACCUGUGUGACUGCGUACCUUUUGUAUAAUGGGUCAGCGACUUAUAUUCUGUAGCAAGGU